rnacentral:rRNA from 1 species
AAAUUGAAGAGUUUGGUCAUGGCUCAGAUUGAACGCUGGCGGCAGGCCUAACACAUGCAAGUCGAGCGGAAACGAGUUGUCAGAACCUUCGGGGAACGACAACGGCGUCGAGCGGCGGACGGGUGAGUAAUGCCUAGGAAAUUGCCCUGAUGUGGGGGAUAACCAUUGGAAACGAUGGCUAAUACCGCAUGAUGCCUACGGGCCAAAGAGGGGGACCUUCGG